rnacentral:rRNA from 1 species
CUGCUGCCUCCCGUAGGAGUUUGGACCGUGUCUCAGUUCCAAUGUGGGGGACCUUCCUCUCAGAACCCCUAUCCAUCGCUGUCUUGGUGGGCCGUUACCCCGCCAACUAACUAAUGGAACGCAUCCCCAUCCCAUACCGAAAUUCUUUAAUAAUCCCAUCAUGCGGUAGGACUAUAACAUCGGGUAUUAAUCUUUCUUUCGAAAGGCUAUCCCCGAGUAUGAGGCAGGUUGGAUACGUGUUACUCACCCGUGCGCCGGUCGCCAUCAAAAG